rnacentral:lncRNA from 1 species
ACCCACUGAUAGUAACUUGGUGAUGGAGCAUUUUUUACAGAAAACAGAACAACCGAUUGAAAAGCUUUUAUAUUUUCUCUUAGUUACCAUAGCUAAUCCACAUCUUCCAUUCACAAAAAGCAAAAACGAAAGCUAUUAUUGUUAUCGCUUUCCAAUUCCCCAGAGGAUUGUCUUGGGGGAAAGCAUCAGUUCGCUCAAUGGUUAGUUAGGACACAGGUCAAGUAUCUCAAGUUGACUCUACACUAACAUCUCUCUCUGAAACCUCAUCUGAAGAAGUCUCAUGAUGCAAUGCAAGAUUUGGAACACCAAGCAAACAAAAUGAAUGAAGUGGUUCACAUAUAUUUUACUUUGCAAAUUACUGUUUUGAUAGGUAAGACCUGAGAUAAUCCAUAUUAUGGUACCUCAGUGCAUCAAAUACAGGACACUAUAUGUCUCACCAACAGAGUACACC